UACGGGGGGAGCAAGCGUUGUUCGGAUUUACUGGGCGUAAAGGGCGCGUAGGCGGUCACGCCAAGUCAGUUGUGAAAUCUCCGGGCUUAACUCGGAACGGUCAACUGAUACUGUCGGACUAGAGUGCAGAAGGGGCAACUGGAAUUCUCGGUGUAGCGGUGAAAUGCGUAGAUAUCGAGAGGAACACCUGCGGCGAAGGCGGGUUGCUGGGCUGACACUGACGCUGAGGCGCGAAAGCUAGGGGAGCGAACGGG
rnacentral:rRNA from 1 species